CGUCCCUACGGGGCGCAGCAGUGAGGAAUAUUGGACAAUGGGUUAGCGCCUGAUCCAGCCAUCCCGCGUGAAGGACGACGGCCCUAUGGGUUGUAAAUUUCUUUUGUACAGGGAUAAACCUAUCUACGUGUAGAUAGCUGAAGGUACUGUACGAAUAAGCACCGGCUAACUCCGUGCCAGCAGCCGCGGUAAUACGGAGGGGGCAAGCGUUAUCCGGAUUUAUUGGGUUUAAAGGGUCCGUAGGCGGAUGUGUAAGUCAGUG
rnacentral:rRNA from 1 species